CUCUCAUCUUUUUGUAUCUUGUGAAAUACAGUCUUGCAGUGCCCCAAGGGUUGUAGUCGUCUUCACGUCACCUGAAUCUAUUUGCUUUGCACAGUCCCAGGGAUAAAAUCUUAAUGCAGUUUCUGGUGGGCACCUGUGACUGGUUAAAUCAAAAAUCAGCACUAGGAAAGUGUUUAAACACUCUGAAGACUCUAGAGGCCCUACCUGAAGAAGCUGGCAACUGAAGCAAUUUCAGGUAAAGGCUGGCAGAUUGUAGAUCAGUCUUUGAGCUACUUCAUGGUCAUUGCCACCUGCCAUCAACAACCAGAGGCUAUUCCUGUGGAAGUCUGGCUUUCCAGUCUGGAAAAGGGGGAGCAUGGAGAGGAGUAAAAGACCAAUACUGCAAAUACUUCCAGGACUGCCAAGUGCAUAAGUAUUAGAACACUUUUUUGGCUAUUUUGGACCACUGAGCUACAUGGAGAGGCUGGAACGAGCCAAAUAAAUGGCUUUGAGCUC